GACGAACGCUGGCGGCGUGCCUAAUACAUGCAAGUAGGACGCAGUUGCGAACGGGUGAGUAACGCGUCGGUAACUGCCUAUUAGAGGGGGAUAACUAUUGGAAACGAUAGCUAAUACCGCAUACUAGUAGAUGGACCUGCGUUGUAUUAGCUCGGAGGUAGGGUAAUGGGCUACCUAGGCGACGAUACAUAGCCGACCGGGGAGGGUGAACGGCCACACUGGGACCGAGGAAAGGCCCAGACUCCUAAGGGAGGCAGCAGUAGGGAAUCUUCGGAAAUGGGGGGAAACCUGACCGAGCAAAGCCGCGUGAGUGAUGACGGCCUUCGGGUUGUAAAGCUCUGUUAAUCGGGACGCGGUACCGGAAUAGAAAGCCACGGCUAACUACGUGCCAGCAGCCGCGGUAAUAC
rnacentral:rRNA from 1 species